GACAGAGGGUGCAAGCGUUGUUCGGAAUUACUGGGCGUAAAGGGCGCGUAGGCGGUCCGCUAAGUUCGGCGUGAAAUCCCCUGGCUCAACUGGGGAACGGCGCUGGAUACUGGUGGACUCGAGUACCGGAGAGGAGAGUGGAAUUCCUGGUGUAGCGGUGAAAUGCGUAGAUAUCAGGAGGAACACCGGUGGCGAAGGCGGCUAUCUGGACCGACAUUGACGCUGAGGCGCGAAAGCGUGGGGAGCAAACAGG
rnacentral:rRNA from 1 species